UGGUAGGUUGGCUGAGUGGUCUAAAGCAAUCGUUUGCUAAACGAUCAGGGUUUAAAACCCCUCAAGAGUUCGAAUCUCUUACCUACCAU
rnacentral:tRNA from 1 species